UACGAAGGGUGCAAGCGUUACUCGGAAUUACUGGGCGUAAAGCGUGCGUAGGUGGUUGUUUAAGUCUGUUGUGAAAGCCCUGGGCUCAACCUGGGAACUGCAGUGGAAACUGGACAACUAGAGUGUGGUAGAGGGUAGCGGAAUUCCCGGUGUAGCAGUGAAAUGCGUAGAGAUCGGGAGGAACAUCCGUGGCGAAGGCAGCUACCUGGACCAACACUGACACUGAGGCACGAAAGCGUGGGGAGCAAACAGG
rnacentral:rRNA from 1 species